AUUGAACGCUGGCGGCAGGCCUAACACAUGCAAGUCGGACGGUAGCACAGAGGAGCUUGCUCCUCGGGUGACGAGUGGCGGACGGGUGAGUAAUGUCUGGGGAUCUGCCCGAUAGAGGGGGGUAACCACUGGAAACGGUGGCUAAUACCGCAUAACGUCGCCAGCCCAAAGAGGGGGACCUUCGGGCCUCUCACUAUCGGAUGAACCCAGAUGGGAUUAGCUAGUAGGCGGGGUAACGGCCCACCUAGGCGACGAUCCCUAGCUGGUCUGAGAGGAUGACCAGCCACACCGGAACUGAGACACGGUCCAGACUCCUACGGGAGGCAGCAGUGGUGAAUAUUGCACAAUGGGCGCAAGCCUGAUGCAGCCAUGCCGCGUGUAUGAAGAAGGCCUUCGGGUUGUAAAGUACUUUCAGCGGGGAGGAAGGCGAUGUGGUUAAUAACCGCGUCGAUUGACGUUACCCGCAGAAGAAGCACCGGCUAACUCCGUGCCAGCAGCCGCGGUAA
rnacentral:rRNA from 1 species